UACGGAGGGUGCGAGCGUUGUCCGGAAUCAUUGGGCGUAAAGGGCGCGUAGGUGGCCCGGUCAGUCUUUGGUGAAAGCGCGGGGCUCAACCCUGCGUCGGCCAGGGAUACUGCCGCGGCUCGAGCACUGUAGAGGCAGGCGGAAUUCCGGGUGUAGCGGUGGAAUGCGUAGAGAUCCGGAAGAACACCGGUGGCGAAGGCGGCGCUCUGGACCGAGACUGACGCUGAGGCGCGAAAGCGUGGGGAGCAAACAGGG
rnacentral:rRNA from 1 species